AAGAGGGGGGAGAGGGGGGGCUCUGACCUUAUAUGUAUGGAAAUGGCCGACCAUGACUGUGAAAAAAAAAACUUGUGGUACAGUCUUACAAUGGAUGGGCCGUGUCUGCGCACAAGCUAAACAUGCAGACGGAAAAAGUGAGGGAGAUUGCCCACAACACUCUCUUCGUCAACUCCUACUCACACCGUCUCAGCACUGUUGACUGAAGUUGAUAUUUUGUGAUCUGAGGUCGUUCCCCUCAUGUUUGUUCCCCACCGACUGAGGUUCUUCAAUGAAACUUGGAGUGAGGUGAAUGCUGACCGACUACCACUGGACCUACUCAGUGAGGUGGCAAACACCUACCACGCAUUUUAGGACACCAUCAACCACAUUGGGAACCUGGAUUGGGUAAAUGGCGACUCAUCCUAUGAAGCAAACAAUCUUGUUUUGAAACUUGAGGGUUUUCAGUUUGUUCCAGCUCUUCACCUACGCGCAGGUUUUCUCCAACAUUUAUGUUGCAUUUGACACUGAAGCACAAAGCAAUGGAUGUGGCAGCCUGCAAAGCUAGCAUUGAGGAGCUGGUUCAACACAUCUAGAGCAAGAAGUCUGACUGCCUUUGACAGUGUCUAACAGAAGGCUGAGAGAUUGGCUCAACACCCAUGCAAAAGUCUCAAGUAGACGGAUGACUUAGACCCUCUGACACACUUCAAGGCUUUGUACUACAAAGCUCUGGAAACCGUCAUCUCUCAGAUCCAGGUUUGUUACGCACAUUUGGAUGACCUACGCUUCCUCGAGCUGCUGGAUCCAGCGAAGUUCACUGACAUGAACAUCCAUUUCGCAACAGACGUGGUGGAUAGCCCAGUGAAGCUCUACGGGGGCUUCUUCAACAUGGCCAGGCUCAGAGUGGACCUGAAGGCAUUCUACAUAGGCCAAGGACAACAGCAGGACAGCCACAAGCUCUGUGAAUGGAUCUGUUUCAUCCGCUCCCAGAAGAACCCACUACCAGAGCUCUACAAGCUGAUGUGCCUUGUGGCGACCAUUGGAGUGACCUCAGCCGACGUGGAGGAAAGCUUCCCCUGCCUGAAGCGCAUUCAUGGCUUUGUGAAAGGGGAAAAGUUGGACGAUCAGCUCCACCAGAACAUGGCCAUGAUGUGCAUAGAGAAUGAGGGUUUGUCACGAACUCGGGGAGCAGCACUGGUAUGACAAAGUCACGAACCUCUGUGCCAGAAAGACCAAGAGAGAAGAUGAGUUCAUCACCAAGAUGGCUGCAGGAGGGUUGAAAGGACCGGCAGCAAAGAGGACCUCCACAGCAACAGAGGACUCUCAGGAGCCACCAGUCAGGAAGCAUGAUGACGAGGUUUUCUCACCUGAAUGAUCUGAAUCUAGAUUACAACACACAGGUCUUGCCAUCAUUGUAUGAUUUUUUUUGUGUGUAAAUGAACUGAAGCUUAUGGACAAUAUCAAGGUGAUGAGUUAUUCACCAUUUUUGAUGAACAAAUAAGGUUUUAUAUGUAAGAUGGCUAAAUAAAGAGCAAAAUUAUUGAUAAUUAUUAUAUUAUUAUUUGUGGCCUGGUCCUAUAAGAGCUCUUUGUCACUUCCCACGAGCCGGGUUGUGACAAAAACUCACUCAUUCUCAUGUUUAAUACAUGUAUUGUAUAGUUUGUGUGUGGCAGGCUUACAAUGAUGGCAAACAACAACAUUUGUGUUUUGCUGACCCUGGUGCCGGAGGUGGUAUGCAGCUGGAGGUUGAAUGUUUGAAGGGGUAUGGGACUAUAAAAUGUUUGGGAGCAACUGCCUUAGACAAUUACCCCCUCCACAAAAAUAUACCAUAUGUUGAAUGCUUAGGCCUAGUUUUGUUUAAGUUAUCUGAUCGAAUUAAACGCAUAUAAACAGAAUGGCGUUCCCAUUCAAGUUAAUUAACCCAUUCUAUUCAUUAGCCAUUUGUUUUAACUAGGCAAGACAGUUAAGAACAAAGUAUUAUUUAUAAUUACAGCCUAGAACAGUGGGUUAACUGUCUUGUUUAGGGUCGGAAUGACAGAUACAUAUCUUGUCAGGUCAGGGAUUCGAUCGAACAACCUUUACAGUUUCUGGCCCAGCCCUUUAACCACUAGGCUACCUGCUGCCCCAAGAACCCACCUGUCGCCCCAUUUAAAACAAUUUGAUUGCCGAAAUCUGAUCAGAUAACAUUGGCUGGGUGAUUGGACAGAUGUGAGUUCCCAGAGUUACUUUUAUUUGGUUAGUAAAUUAUACUGAUUACAGUAGAACUCCGAUUUAUUUCAUUUUAUAGGUGUAGCCAGCCUACUACAGUAGUUCAAUCAACUCCCUUUGCUCUUGGUCGUUUAUGCCAAUGGAGCCCAGUAGGUGGCGGUAUAGGCCUACACAUUCCUCAUUUUCAUUAGUGGCUGGUGCGCUAUCACCGUCACAAGAAGCCAGCAGAAAACGAACGGGUGGACAUUUGACAUGAGUUAAGUUAUUACAAGACGUAGAUCAAUUUAACCUUGAGAUUUAUGGUUUUUCUGUGACAUUUAUUCAUGCUAAUAGUCAUGUCAAUGACAGCCAGAAAUGUACAUCAGAAUUUGAGUUUAACAAGUUGUCACUUAUUGUUUUAAUGACAAGAACUAGUUGCACUUUCUGCAGGUUGUGUAUGACCUACGUUCAUUGUAAAACGCUUUGUUUGAAUAGAACAACUUAUAAAGGUGCCAUUUUAUCUUCUAUGAAUUCUAAAGUUAGUUUCCACACCAUAUUUUGAGAUUAGUUUUUUUUUUACGGCUCACUUUUCUGCCAUGUACAGUAUAAAGAUGUCAAGCCCAAGACAGAUCUCGAUAAAUUGGUAAAUUGAGGCUUAAUAAAUUGAGGACCCUCCAGU